rnacentral:rRNA from 1 species
GUGGGGAAUUUUGGACAAUGGGCGCAAGCCUGAUCCAGCAAUGCCGCGUGCAGGAAGAAGGCCUUCGGGUUGUAAACUGCUUUUGUACGGAACGAAACGGUCCUGGUUAAUACCCGGGGCUAAUGACGGUACCGUAAGAAUAAGCACCGGCUAACUACGUGCCAGCAGCCGCGGUAAUACGUAGGGUGCAAGCGUUAAUCGGAAUUACUGGGCGUAAAGCGUGCGCAGGCGGUGCUGUAAGACAGGCGUGAAAUCCCCGGGCUUAACCUGGGAAUUGCGCUUGUGACAGCAGUGCUGGAGUGCGGCAGAGGGGGAUGGAAUUCCGCGUGUAGCAGUGAAAUGCGUAGAUAUGCGGAGGAACACCGAUGGCGAAGGCAAUCCCCUGGGCCUGCACUGACGCUCAUGCACGAAAGCGUGGGGAGCAAACAGGAUUAGAAACCCCGGUAGUCC